rnacentral:lncRNA from 1 species
GGAAGAUGGAUUGCUACAUACAACCUGUGGUAGUCCUAACUACGUCGCGCCUGAGGUUCUAGCUAACAAGGGCUAUGAUGGUGCAGCAUCAGAUAUAUGGUCAUGUGGAAUAAUCUUGUAUGUUAUUCUUACUGGUUGUCUCCCUUUUGAUGAUACAAACCUUGCCGUUCUCUGCCGGAAGGUGCUGCUUUUGUUUUGGAUAGUUAAGAUUAUGUUUUGAAAGAAACAUAACUCAAAGAUAUUUGCCUUUUUCAGAUAUUCAAAGGCGACCCUCCAGUACCUAGAUGGUUAUCACCUGGUGCUAAAACCAUGAUCAAAAGAAUGCUCGAUCCAAAUCCAGUCACAAGGAUGACAGUCGCAAGUAUUAUGGCUAAUGAUUGGUUCAAACACGAGUACUCUCCUUCCAGUUGUGAUAAUGAAGAUGAUGAAGAAGAUGUAAGAAUCUGUUGCGUCUCAUCAUGUUGGCGUUCCCAUGCACUUGGAUCUAUGUGCAUUGCCUUUCUCAAAAUCUUGCCUUUUUUGUUAUUUAUGAUAAAGGUAUCAGAAGAAGAGAAGAGCCAUGAUUCACCAACCAUCAUCAACGCCUUUCAGCUGAUCGCAAUGUCACCGUUUCUUGACCUCUCCGGUUUGUUUGAGACAGAGGUAAACAAUACAUUCUUGUCUUCAUUUACUCUGUUUCAAGAUUGUUCUUUGCUCACAACAAAGAUGUGUAUUACUUUGACUCAGACUGUAUCAGAGAGGCAGAUAAGGUUCAUGUCAAAUAGGUUAGCCACUGAUGUUAUGGAGAAAAUAAAAACAAUCCUCAUGGAGAUGGGUUUCUGCGUACAGAAGAAACACACAAUGGUGAGAGGGAGACUCUUUUGCUCUCUUCUUGCUCUCUUUGUCUUAUCUGCUACUUGCAAGUAAUUUAAGUGGUGAGAACUGAUGUUGCUUCAGUUAAAAGCAAUCCGAGAAGAGAGUACUCGAAAAGGGCAAGGCGGGUUAUCACUAACGGCGGAGGUAUUCAAGAUGAUCCCAUCGCUGAAUAUGAUUGAACUAAGAAAAUCACAUGGCGAUUCAUCUCUAUAUAAACAGGUAAUAAUACAGUCUUCUUGUAUAAGUUAUAUGGCACGUCUAUGUUUCUACAAUCAUGACCUAAAACAGCUUAUUGUUUAUGGGUUGGCGCAGUUGUGCGAGAGAUUACUAAACGAAUUUGACGCAUCAUCCCAAAGAUGAAGAACAAAGGGUUGCUGCAAAUCAGACAAAACCGCAUCAUCUCCUCACUGCUUAACACACACACAGAAAAGAAAGACGAAAGCUUAAAAAGGAGUACUACAAUAUUACUCUCUCUUUUUUUUUUUGUCACAAAUACUACAAUAUUACUCUAAAGUCGUAUUAGUUAGAUGAUCUUACAUAGAUGUUCCAAAACAACAAAGCAGCUAAAGAGAAUCUGAAACUAAAACAGCGCAAGGGUAAGAGAGUCUGAAACUAAACCAGAUGAUAUUACUAAGAGUUCAUCAUGUUAUAUCUACCACCAUGUUGAUAACUAGCUCAUCCUGCAAAAAAAAAAAAAAAAAAGGUUGGAAGUUCUGUUAGGAGAUACAAUUACAACUACAAAAAUCUAUUAGAUCACAAUACCUGUAAUACGGGGGUGUACACUGUACAGGAGGGAUCAUCGGACCACCUCCAUUAACCAUAGAAGCAGCAGCUCUCUCAGGAUCAUCGGAAGACCAAAGCCAAGUCACGUUGGCAAUGGGGUAGACGCUUGGUGAGGAGCUUUCAGGUAGGGCUAACAUCAUAAAGAUAUCCCUUCUCCAUUCUUUAAUCGCACCCAUCACAUCAUAGUUUCCAGAAAUGACCAAUAUGUUGGCCCUGUUGGCAAGCGCUUUCAUGGUGAUCUCCAUGACCAAAAAAGUGGCAGCUUGAUCUGACAAAAGAAAAAAAACAGUUACUAAUAAUCGGCUUUAGAUAAAUAAAAAAAAAACAACUCAAUUAGGUAUCAAAUAAAGAAAGUGGAGGGUGAGAAAGAUUUUUAACCAGCCAAGUCACGGUCUGGUCCUCGAGUAUGAUAAUCUGGCAUGGGUGAGAGUUCGAUCUCAUCAGGGAGCAUGGUAAUGGCUUCAUGUUUGUCUCCGGUGGCGGUUCCAACCGCAAUCAGUUUCCCUUCAAUAAAGAAAUCAGGAUUGCAUCGUUUGAGGGCAGUUUCAAUGCUCGUUUUGAGACUCCAAAGAUCGUAGCCAUGGGGGAUCCAAUAAUAUUGGUAGUCCCAGAUGACAGUAACACCCGCAGGGGAACUCAUAACUAUCCUCCUGUAAGAUGAAGUUCUACAACAAUCAGACCAAAUAAUCAAGAGAAGGCCAUUCAUUAAUCAUCUAAUCUUUUAGCUAAACGAGAAUCCAAAAUCCCCUAGAAACAAUAAUGUAAUCCAAAAACCCUACAUUUUAAAAAAAAUCACGAAAGUCAGAUUUCAACAGUUUACUUGUCUUUUGUCAGUGACCAAAUCGAUCUCAACCGAAUCGUUCCGAGCAACGAGAAAGAGUGCGAAGAAGAGAAUCAAAUCAAAUGGAGCAAAGAAAAAGACUUACGCUUCUUUCUGUGACUGACCCAGAAGAGACCUCGCAAGCAGAGUGUGGCAAAGAUAUGUUUUUUUCUUUUCUUUUCCCUUUUUAAUUUAGAUUUGGACGGCAAAAAUAUGUUUCACGAGCCGGAUGAAAAAGUCAUUAAUUAAAUGUUUUGUUUCAAUAAAGGGCGGGUAUAUUUAAAUUUUAAUUUUCUUUAUUAUUUCAAAGAAUUUAAAUUUUAUAUUUGUAUUUAAUACUGAUUAAAUUUAAUAUAUUCUUUGUUAACUAUAUUAAAUAUUUCAAAUUGCAUAACUAACUAUACACUUGUACCAUAUGUAUUCCAAAAAUUAUUUAUAAAUUUUAUUGAUAUAGCUUGCAACAUAGUAUAUUUUUUUAAUAGUUACAUAAUUAUAACCUAUAUCAACUCUUAUUGCUCACAUUAUAUUACUAAACUUAUAUUAGGUUUUAUAAAAAUAAGUACCAAAUUAUAGAAAUUAUUUUGUUUGAAAAAAAUAUAGAUUAAUCUUAUCUUAUUAAACAUCAAUUAGGCAAUAAAUCUUAAUCAAAAUCUAUUAAAAUAUAGUAGCAAUUUAAAAAGCCCAUUGAGAUACAAAUUGCAACAAAUUAUUAGAUUUUUAGAUUAAAAACGAGGUCCAACUGUCUAAGAUCCAAGCUUAAUUUUUCUCCGACCAAUGAAAAAUAUAUAUAUAGUAUUUUCUUUCUAUUAAUAGCACAAUUGUAACUAAACCGUCUUCAUCCUAAAAAGGCUUUAAGGUUCCUGCAACUUUCUCCAUGGUUGUCAUCCAAAUUUCUUCAACAACGAUUAUAACUUAGCCUUUGUCUUAUUGUUUUCUCAUCAAAUAUACCGAUCUGGUAGCCAGUAUACGAUUGCUAUCAUUCAAAUUUUGGCUGCAACUGGAAUGUAUUUUUUUGGAAUAAAAAUUUCCUGAAUGCUUCAUUCAUGUGCAUUCCAAAAAAAUUUCACCAGUUACAAUUAAAAAAUGGAAUGUGUAUUCCAUUUCAUUCCAUAACAUUUCAUACCAUUCCAGAAAAAAAAUUAACUAUCAUUUGAAAAAUCAUUCCAAAUCAAAAACGUUUUAGAAUAAGUGGAAUGCUGAUUCCAUUCCAUUAAAUUCCAGAAAUUAUAAUUCAUAUUCCAUACAUUCCUUCUAGUUGUCACCAGUUACACCCUUUAUUUUUAAAAUGAUCUUUUUUUAUGAAACAAUUUGUUAGCUGAGAUUAAAUUGAUUCAUUCAUUUAUAACUAUGAAGAAUCUUUCGCUUGUUCGAGAAAAUGAUUUUGAAAAAUUUAAUUGAACAAAGGAUUUGUUAGCCAAGAAACAUUUUUUUAUAACCAUAAAAGGAAGUGAAAGAACUUGGGUCCCACCCCGUAUCGUACGCUUCUUAGGCUAUCAACAUUGGUUUACACUUUCAACAUCCUCCACAUCAUCUUCUCUCACUUCCACAUCAUCUUCUCUCUCUUAUAUCUAAUAAUUCAACACCCACCCACUUACAAUGGUUUGUUGAAUUUUAUUUACACACUCUACCCUACAAUUUGUUUUCACUAAUUUUGUUUUUCAUAUGUUUUGUAAUAUAUAUUAACAAUAAUUCAAUAAAAUCAAAUUAAAAUAUUUUAGAAUCAAACAAAUGUUUUAAAUAAUUUUUUUAAUUUUUAAAUUUAAUAUAAAAUAAAAUAUUUAAGGGGAAAAAUAAAUAAAAACUUUAUUAAAAUCAAUAAAAUUACAAGAAAAUAAAAUAUAAUACAAUACAUUAAUAAGCAGUUUAAUUAGUGCAAUAAACUCAAUCGACAAACUUAAAAAUCUCUUCAACCAUGAAACAUUCCAAACUUUUCCCAUAUGUGUUUGACUAAAUCUACUUGCAAUUCAUGAUGCACAUUGGAAUCACGCAAUUCCGAUCUAGCACGUACAUGAUUUGCAAAUGCAGGUAGCACUUCAGUCGAGAAUGGUUGUGGUGCAUUAGAUCCACUUGCCUCAGAUUGAUCAUAGUCAGUCCAGUGUUGAGCAUAUGUAUCUCGUUCAUCUUCAACAAUCAUGUUAUGCAAUAUGAUACAUGACCUCAUUAUAAUAGCCAAAUCGGAAAUGUCCCACAUGCGAGCUGGUUCAUGAAUGAUUUUACAUCGAGACUGCAACACUCGAAAUGCACGUUCGAUGUCCUUCCGGCAACCCUCUUUGAACUUGUGCAAAUAACUUGUUCGGUUCACUUUGAGGAAGCCUAAUCGAUUUGAUGAAAGUAGGACAAGAAGGAUAGAUACUGCCAGCUAGAUAAUACGCCAUAUUAUACGGACAUUGGUUCACGAAGAAGUUCAAUCUUGGAGUAUUUUCUUGUUCAACAUCAUCGAACACUGGUAAACGAUCUAGAACGUUUAUAUCGUUUAAUGUGCCGGUACAUCCAAAAAAAGCAUGCCAGAUCCAUAGAUCAUGGGAUGCAACUGCUUCAAGAAUAACAGUGGUGGUUCCCUUAUCUCCGUGAGUAAAUUGUCCUUUCCACGCUGUAAGACAAUUUUUCCAUUCCAGUGCAUACAAUCAAUACUCUCAAUCAUCCCCGGAAACUCUCGUUUUUCACUAACAUGCAAAAUUCUUUGCAGAUACACUUACUCAUACAAUUAUAUGAUUCCCUUACAGAAUCUACACAAGCACUCCAAAGCUGUAGUACCUCCAAUUUUGAUGUAUUCAUCCACCACGUCGGCUGCAACACCAUAUGCUAACAUUCGCAUGGUCGUGGUACAUUUUGCUAAUGGAGAUAUACCUUCUUUAUUAGCUGCGUCAAAUCGCUGGGUGAAGUAGUCGUCACUGCUUGAUAGAUCCAAAACAACCCGGAGAAAAACAUGUUUUCGCAUCUGGAAUCGUCGACGAAACAUUGCAUCAUCAUAUGUAUGUUGAUUGGAAAAGUAGUCGUCAAUCAGCCUUUGAUUUGCAGCUGCAUGAUCUCUCUUGAAGUAUCUUCUCUUGUUACUAGAUGGAUAAUCUUGCUCUAUUUUUUGUCGACGCUCUCUAAAGUGGUUUAGGAUAUACCUCUCUUCAAUUUCAGACUGUCUUUUGUAAGCUUCGAUAUCAAAAUCAAAUUCUGAUGGAUUCAUUGAGAUUGUUUUAGUAAGUUGAAAUUUAUUUUAUUGAUACAUAAAUGGAAGAAAUGAGUUCUUAUUUAUAGGAAAAUGGAACCAAAAAAUUGAGUGGUUGGAGGAAAGCAUUAUAAAAGCAUGGUGAGUGGUUGGAGGAUAAGAUUGACGAAAGUCACGGGCAUUUGACAUCAUUAUUAAAGUUCGGUGAGUGGUUGGAGGAUAAGAUAGAUGAAAGUCACGGGAACUUGACCAAAUUAUUAAAGUUUGGUGAGUGGUUGGAAGCUAAGAUAGAUGAAAGUCACGGGCACUUGACCACAUUAUUAAAGUUUGGUGAGUGGUUGGAAGAUAAGAUAGAUGAAAGUCACGGGCACUUGACCACAUUAUUAAAGUUUGGUAUAAGAUAGAUGAAAGUCACAUGCACUUGACAGUACUAUUAAAGUUUGGUGAGUGAUUGAUAGAUAAGAUAGAUGAAAGUCACGGGCACUUGAAAGAAUUAUUAAAGUAUGUCGAGUGGUUCAAGGAUAAGAUUCUACAGAUAAAAGCUGAAAGAUACAUAUUACAUUAUUAAAAUAUAACAUGACAAACAAACAUUAUUAAAAUAGAAGAUGACAAACAAACAUUAUUAAAGCAUGAAGUGAUGUGAUACAGACAACCACUUGUGAUUAUAACUAAUUUUUAAAUAAUUCGUCGCUCAACUGUUUGAACAGCUCUUUGCUCUGGUCACUGAGAUGUUGCCUUUCACUUAGCUUCAACCACAUCUUCAUCUUCUUAGUCCGAAUUUUUUCUUUCAUCAGCUGGUUUGCUUCUUCUUGCCUUUGUAUUGCCUCUUUUUGCCUUUUGUUUAACUCCUCUUGCAACAUGGCUAUUUUUUCCAAGUGUUCCAGCUCUUGCGUCUUGAUUUGUUUGAAUUCAAUAAAAUCUUCAUUUAUUAUUUUUUCUGUGUCCAAAUCAAAUGAAACAAGUCACUAUUUAUAGAGUAUGAAAAAUGAAAAAUUUUGAUGUAAAAAUAUAUUUUUUAAAAAUAAAAAUUUAAGAGAUAAUUGAUUUGAAAUAAUAGAGAGAAAAAACAAAUCAGAAAUUUCACUUACCAGUGUUUUAGUGACAAGUGGCUUUUGGGGGGUCUAUUUUGUCUUAUCUUUAACGAUUCAACAAUGUUGAAUUAUUUCAACUAUGUUGAAUGCACUUAAGAUUCAAUUGUCUUUUCAAUACUCCAUUGCACCUUUUCAACUAUUGAAUCAAAAAAUUCAAUAGGCCAUUGUAAGUAGUCUUAUCUUACAAAAAUAAAGAAAACUAGGUGUUAUGCACGCAUAAUGUUCUUAUAAAUAUUUAUCUAUUUAUAACUAUUAAAUCAAAACUAACAUAAUAAAUUAUUAAUUAUUUCUUAAAAAAGAUAAAUCAAACACUAAAAUUUAUAUUUUAUAAUAAAAAUAAAUAUUUUCAUAUACAAACACAACAUAUUUAUGAAUUAUCUUAUGUUUUAAAAAUAUAUUUUAUUUGAAAAUUUUAUUAUAUUUACUUAUAGUCAAUUAUCUAAUAUAACAUAUAAAUAAAAUAUUAUUAAUAUAUAUUCAUUAAUUUUUAUCAAAAUAUAUAAAUGGUUAUUGUUGUGUUAAAUUUUAAAAAUAUUCAUAUAUUAGAAUUAUUUUAGAAAAUCAUUAGCAUGUAAUUAUAAAUUGUUUUAUAUCUAACUAUAAAUUUUAUAAUAAAAUAUUAUUUUCAGAUAACAAUAUAACAUAUCUAAGAAUUAUCUUAUGUUUUAAAUCGUGUUUUUAUUUUUGAAAAUUUUAUUAUAUUUAUUUAUAGUCAAUUAUCUAAUAUAAUAUAUAAAUAUAAUAUUAUUAAUAUUAAUUCGUUUAUAAUUAUUUAUAUUUUAGAUAAUUCUUAUUGUUAUUAAUUUUAAUCACUUAUUAAAUCAGAUAAUUUUUUUUGACUAAUUUAUAUAAUUUAUUUAUUAAGAAUAUAAACGAUUUAUUAUUAGUUUUAAUCACUUUUUAAUAGAUAGAUUUGAAAUUCGUUUUUAUUUUUUGAUUAAUUUAUUUAUUGUGUCCACCACUUUCAGGUCUUGGCUAGCAAAACCAAGAUCUACAUGGUCCUUGAAUGUGUCACUGGAAGAGACUUAUUUGACAGAAUUGUAAGAUUCAUGUAUACAGUGAGUUGUUUUUUUUUUGUGUAAAUGAACAGUGACAGUUUCGUCGGUUAACCAAAGGUUGGUUUAUAUAAACAUGCUAUGUUCAUUCUCAGGUCUCCAAAGGAAAACUUUCAGAAACAGAAGGAAGAAAAAUGUUUCAGCAGUUGAUUGAUGGAAUAAGCUAUUGUCAUAACAAGGGCAUUUUCCACAGGGAUCUCAAGGUCUGUGUGUACACGUUUUUAGAAAAACUUCAAACUUUGUUUGUAGUAUUCAGACACAUGUUCUGAUACCAAGGUUUCUGUUUUGAAGCUAGAGAAUGUUCUUCUUGAUGAAAAUGGGCACAUUAAGAUCACUGAUUUUGGCGUUCGUGCUGUGCCUCAGCAUUUUAGGGUAAUAUCCUAAACCUAUAUAUUUAAAUCAGCAGAAAGAAACCUAUGUUCAGACUUUUUUGGCAUGUCAGGAAGAUGGAUUGCUACAUACAACCUGUGGUAGUCCUAACUACGUCGCACCUGAGGUUCAAGCUAACAAGGGCUAUGAUGGUGCAGCAUCAGAUAUAUGGUCAUGUGGAGUAAUCUUGUAUGUUAUUCUUACUGGUUGUCUCCCUUUUGAUGAUACAAACCUCGCCGUUCUUUGCCGGAAGGUGCUGCCUUUUGUGGUUUUUUUCUCUGUUUUCCAUAGUUUAAUUUAUGUUUUAAAGAAACAUAACUGAAAGAUAUUAGCCUUUUCAGAUAGUCAAAGG